rnacentral:rRNA from 1 species
AUGCACUUUCUUCCCCGUCUUCCACUCUUCUUCCCCCUCUCUUCUUCUUCCUCCUCUCUUCCCCAUCGUCGGCCGCACACCAUUUACCCCCGCUCACUGCUCGCCUGCCCGCGCCAUCUUCCUUGCAGACGCAAAUGCGCUGGCCUUCAUGAUUCCAGGACCUGGAAUCAUACCAGCCGAUGGGUGGUGUUGAAAAAGGAUUGGCCGGUGCUGCCGGCUGGUCUCAAGUUCGAUCCCACGGAUCAGGCGUUGGUCGAGCACCUUGAGGCCAAAGUGAGUGCUGACAGCGCGAGAUUUCAGUCUCUCAUCGAUUUGUUCAUACCAACCAUCGACAGUGAGCACAGCAUAUGCUACACCCAACCUGAGAAACUUCCAGGUAUCACACUGAGUGGCCUAAGGAAGCAUUUCUUCCAGCACAAUUCCAGGGCGUUCAAAAGGGACACGUGGACGCGUUGCAAGAUACAGUCGGAGUGCGGCAUGCGCGCGAUGUGGCACAAGACCGACAAUACCUUGCCGGUGAUGGUCAACGGCCGGCAGAUGGGCAACAAAAAAAGGUUGUGGUGCUGCACACCAACAAGAACUUCAACCAGCAUAGGACCAACUAGGUCGAGCAACUUUCAACUGGGCUGUAGACUGCCCAGGGUUGGUUUUAUUUUUAACAGGCCCAACCCAUGA